rnacentral:rRNA from 1 species
GACGAAGGAUGCAAGCGUUAUCCGGAUUCAUUGGGUUUAAAGGGAGCGUAGGUGGUCUUGUAAGUCAGUGGUGAAAUCUGGCAGCUUAACUGUUAAAUUGCCGUUGAUACUGCAGGACUUGAGUACAGAUGCCGUUGGCGGAAUAUGACAUGUAGUGGUGAAAUACAUAGAGAUGUCAUAGAACACCGAUUGCGAAGGCAGCUGACGAAACUGUAACUGACACUGAGGCUCGAAAGUGUGGGGAUCAAACAGG